GGUCAAGCGAAUAAGCGCACACGGUGGAUGCCUAGGCGGUCAGAGGCGAUGAAGGACGUGGUAGCCUGCGAAAAGUGUCGGGGAGCUGGCAACAAGCUUUGAUCCGGCAAUAUCCGAAUGGGGAAACCCACUGCUUCGGCAGUAUCCUGCAGUGAAUUCAUAGCUGCUGGAAGCGAACCCGGUGAACUGAAAUAUCUAAGUAACCGGAGGAAAAGAAAUCAACCGAGAUUCCCUAAGUAGUGACGAGCGAACGGGGAGCAGCCCUUAAGCUGGAAUGGCUUUAGAAAAACAAUCUGGAAAGAUUGGCCAUAGAAGGUGAUAGCCCUGUAUUUAAAAGGGCCACUCCAGUGAAGACGAGUAGGGCGGGGCACGUGAAACCCUGUCUGAAUAUGGGGGGACCAUCCUCCAAGGCUAAAUACUCCUGACCGACCGAUAGUGAACCAGUACCGUGAGGGAAAGGCGAAAAGAACCCCGGAGAGGGGAGUGAAAUAGAUCCUGAAACCGUGUGCGUACAAGCAGUAGGAGCUCGCAAGAGUGACUGCGUACCUUUUGUAUAAUGGGUCAGCGACUUACUGUUCGUGGCAAGCUUAACCGUAUAGGGGAGGCGAAGGGAAACCGAGUCUGAUAAGGGCGCAUAGUCGCGGGCAGUAGACCCGAAACCGGGUGAUCUAGUCAUGGCCAGGGUGAAGGUGCCGUAACAGGUACUGGAGGCCCGAACCCACGUCUGUUGCAAAAGACGGGGAUGAGCUGUGAUUAGGAGUGAAAAGCUAAUCGAACCCGGAGAUAGCUGGUUCUCCUCGAAAGCUAUUUAGGUAGCGCCUCGGACGAAUACUACUGGGGGUAGAGCACUGUUAUGGCUAGGGGGUCAUCGCGACUUACCAAACCAUUGCAAACUCCGAAUACCAGUACGUACUAUCCGGGAGACACACGGCGGGUGCUAACGUCCGUCGUGAAAAGGGAAACAACCCAGACCCACAGCUAAGGUCCCAAAUUCACUGCUAAGUGGAAAACGAUGUGGAAAGGCAUAGACAGCCAGGAGGUUGGCUUAGAAGCAGCCACCCUUUAAAGAAAGCGUAAUAGCUCACUGGUCGAGUCGGUCUGCGCGGAAGAUUUAACGGGGCUAAGCAGUGAACCGAAGCUUGGGGUGCGUAAAACUUCGGUUUUAUGCGCGGUAGAGGAGCGUUCCGUAAGCCUGCGAAGGUGGAUUGAGAAGUCUGCUGGAGGUAUCGGAAGUGCGAAUGCUGACAUGAGUAACGAUAAUGCGGGUGAAAAGCCCGCACGCCGAAAGCCCAAGGUUUCCUUGCGCAACGUUAAUCGACGCAGGGUUAGUCGGUCCCUAAGGCGAGGGCGAAAGCCGUAGUCGAUGGGAAGCAGGUUAAUAUUCCUGCACCUCGCGUGAGUGCGAUGGAGGGACGGAGAAGGUUAGGUGUACCGGGCGUUGGUUGUCCCGGGGAAAGGCGGUAGGUUUGGAUCUUUGGCAAAUCCGGGAUCCUUUAAGGCCGAGCACCGAGACGAGCCUUUAUGGCGAAGUCACUGAUACCACGCUUCCAGGAAAAGCUCCUAAGCUUCAGCUCACGAAGACCGUACCGUAAACCGACACAGGUGGGUAGGAUGAGAAUUCUCAGGCGCUUGAGAGAACUCGGGUGAAGGAACUAGGCAACAUGGCACCGUAACUUCGGGAGAAGGUGCACCCUUUUUGGUGGCUCAUGCGAGCUAUAGCUGAAGAGGGUCGCAGAAACCAGGCCGCUGCGACUGUUUAUCAAAAACACAGCACUCUGCAAACACGAAAGUGGACGUAUAGGGUGUGACGCCUGCCCGGUGCUGGAAGGUUAAUUGAUGGGGUCAGCCGCAAGGCGAAGCUCUUGAUCGAAGCCCCAGUAAACGGCGGCCGUAACUAUAACGGUCCUAAGGUAGCGAAAUUCCUUGUCGGGUAAGUUCCGACCUGCACGAAUGGCGUAACGACAGCGGCGCUGUCUCCACCCGAGACUCAGUGAAAUUGAAAUCGCUGUGAAGAUGCAGCGUUCCCGUGGCAAGACGGAAAGACCCCGUGAACCUUUACUAUAGCUUUACACUGAACGUUGAGUUCGUCUGUGUAGGAUAGGUGGGAGGCUAUGAAACUGUGGCGCUAGCUGCAGUGGAGCCAUCCUUGAAAUACCACCCUGUCGUGCUUGACGUUCUAACCUAGGUCCGUUAUCCGGAUCAGGGACCGUGUAUGGUGGGUAGUUUGACUGGGGCGGUCUCCUCCUAAAGAGUAACGGAGGAGCACGAAGGUACGCUCAGCGCGGUCGGACAUCGCGCACUGUGUGCAAAGGCAUAAGCGUGCUUGACUGCAAGAUCGACGGAUCAAGCAGGUACGAAAGUAGGUCUUAGUGAUCCGGUGGUUCUGUAUGGAAGGGCCAUCGCUCAACGGAUAAAAGGUACUCCGGGGAUAACAGGCUGAUACCGCCCAAGAGUUCAUAUCGACGGCGGUGUUUGGCACCUCGAUGUCGGCUCAUCACAUCCUGGGGCUGUAGUCGGUCCCAAGGGUAUGGCUGUUCGCCAUUUAAAGUGGUACGCGAGCUGGGUUCAGAACGUCGUGAGACAGUUCGGUCCCUAUCUGCCAUGGGCGUUGGAAGUUUGAGAGGGGCUGCUCCUAGUACGAGAGGACCGGAGUGGACGAACCUCUGGUGUUCCGGUUGUCACGCCAGUGGCAUUGCCGGGUAGCUAUGUUCGGAAGCGAUAACCGCUGAAAGCAUCUAAGCGGGAAGCGCGCCUCAAGAUGAGACUUCCCGGGGCACAAGCCCCCUAAAGGAACCAUGUAGACUACGUGGUUGAUAGGUCAGGUGUGUAAGUACAGCAAUGUAUUGAGCUAACUGAUACUAAUGAUCCGUGCGGUUUGACCAUAUAACCUCAAGUUGCCUUGGUCCCAACGAACGUUGGUAGA
rnacentral:rRNA from 1 species